AUUUUCGAUCUAUGAUUCGGUUCGAUCUUGGAUCGGUGAACAACCCGUGUCAUAAAUUUUUCCCCUAACCCAGAUCUAUAGUAGUAGUAGUACGUAUUUUUAAUUUCCCCUUUCGAAGUUUUUUUCACUUCACUGUUCACACCCCUCCCUCCCUCUCUCUCCCCUCCAUUGAAGCGUUCGCUGAAUUCUACAUUGAAUCUUACUCUGAAUUCUCCAUUGAAGCGGCUUAUGAGCUUUUUCUCCUCUAUUAAAGCAGCUUCAGAGGCUUUGGUUUAUAUAACCCUUUAAUGUCAGAACGAAACCAUGAAAAUGGACCUUUUCUUGCUCAGGAACAGGCAUGUUUGAAUUCUGCAGAAAGGAUUGGUAUUGGGAAUGUAUUCAACAAGCUGACAAAGCAAUUGGGCAAUCCUGUCGAGUUUGAACUUCCAGACCGGUUAAAUAAAUAUCAGCCUGCUCCAUAUGUUUUUAUAAGACGCAAUAUAUAUGUGACUAAGAAACCAAAGAGGCGCCAUGAGGAUGAUGGUAUAUUUUGCUCUUGCGGUUCAUCUACAGGAUCUAAUGCUUCCUGUGGUAGAGAUUGCCACUGUGGGAUGUUACUCUCCACCUGCUCCUCAAACUGUAAAUGUGGAGAUGAUUGUGUUAAUAAACCAUUUCAACAGCGUCCUGUGAAAAAGUUGAAGCUAGUGCAGACUGAGAAAUGUGGAGCAGGCAUUGUGGCUGUUGAAGAUAUUAGGCAAGGGGAAUUUGUUAUUGAAUAUGUUGGAGAAGUAAUUGACGAUAAAUUGUGUGAAGAAAGGUUGUGGAGUAUGAAAAAAACCGGGGAAACAAAUUUUUAUCUUUGUGAGAUUAACCGGGACAUGGUAAUCGAUGCCACAAUGAAGGGGAACAAAUCAAGAUACAUUAAUCAUAGUUGCUGUCCCAACACAGAGAUGCAGAAAUGGAGUAUAGACGGAGAAACAAGAAUUGGUAUAUUUGCUACGCGUGACAUUAAAAAGGGCGAGCAUUUGACAUAUGAUUAUCAGUUUGUUCAAUUUGGUGCAGAUCAAGAUUGCCAUUGUGGUGCUGAUAGCUGUAGACGUAAACUUGGUGUCAAACCUAACAAGAAGAUGCCUUCAUCUGAUGCCGCAUUAAAACUAGUUGCACGCCAGGUAGCGGCAUCAUCUCCCAAAGUGAAAGCAAUAUUGUUGGGAAAAAAUGUUUAUCAGAAUGGAAAUUGUUACAGAGAUCAAAGACAGUGCUCCUUUAAUUGCAUUGGUGAGGUUGUCAGGAUUCCCCGACCUGACCGUAGUAGGACAUUUGGUAUCAUAAAGCGGUUUGAUAACACUACAAAGAAGCACUUGAUCAUGUUUGCAGAUGGCAGUGCUGAAUUCAUUGAUAUGUCUAAAGUAGAUUGGGAGUUUUGUAAUUUCUUAUUGUAGUUCAGGUUUUCUUUGGCAAAUACGAGUAGUACGAAGUACUCAAGUAGGUUGGCAAAUUUAUAACUGUAGCUGUCAUCUUCAGGAAGAAAUUUAGGACCUGAAUAACCUACAACUUCUAAGACGAUCUGCUGUUUAACCGCAACAAAGAAUGCUCCAAGAUGGAAGAGGAUUGAACAUAAUCAAAAUGGCAACAUUAUUUUUACCAACUCCUGUAUCAUUAUCGACCCAUGUAUUAUUCAUUCUUUUGUGUUCUUUGUUGGUAAUAAAGAGUAUUAACUUGUAAGUUGUAACAUAUGUACCCUGUUCCUCCUGAAUGGAUUUGUCUGAAGUUAUGAUCCUUUAUAGUUCUCUGCUGAAGUUCUGAACCUUCAUUAUAUUAUACUUCCAUAAUAUAUUUUUCAAUCAUGAAUA